GAUCUACGACAUAAAUAAUUGAAGAAAUAGGUUAGAAAAAAUUGGUGAAUGAUGACUUAUGAUGUUUUUGUUACUUUGCAGGACAUGGGAUCUUAAAGUGAGAAAGACUCUCAAAUGUUGGAAUUAGAGUUGAAGCCAAUGGUGGACAUCCGGGUGCCAUGGUCCUUCUAAAUUUUCAAUACUCCAUCUGUUUUACAAUGACUGUCGUUUUAAAGAAAAAUAAUUGUUUUAAAAUGAAUGUUA
rnacentral:lncRNA from 1 species